ACAGCUCUCUGUACGGGAAGGAUGAGAAGCUUCGACUAAGGUUCGAUUCGAGCGCAGCGAGAAAGCGUUGCCGCAGGCAACGACCCGAAGGGCGAAGCGCGCAGCGCUGAGUCAUCCUUCCCCCACCACCA
rnacentral:sRNA from 1 species